CUGUACUCGGUCCUAUUUAUAGGGAACAGAGGAAACCAAUUGUCAAAAAACCUCCAGAAAGUGUCAUAUCUUAGUAAAUGUUGGGGAUAGCCAGAAAGACGCAGAGCCUUGAUGUAUACGUUUCCUUUUUCCUUCCCGUUCUUUAAUUCUCCAGUGAUCUUUAAUCGACUGGGUAACGAGGACUGGGGUGAAUAUUUUCAUAAGGGAGGAAAGUGCGAGCCGCGGACCAGCUGUCAAUCACUCAAAGUGGAGAAGCGCCGGUGUGAAGAACGGCCUAAACUUGCAGCAUGGCCAAACUGAUUACUGAGAUCCUUAAACAGAAGUGCGAUGCUUCCCUGUCUGUGUUAAGUGCCUGAUCUAACGAAUUUAAAAUCGCUGUCAGUUGGGAGACAAAAAAAAAAAAAUGGACUGAGACCAAACAAACACGUCAGUGUGUUUCACUAUUGACCAGCAGCUCUACAUAAACAUUUUCCUACUCGCCGCAGACUGGCAGAAGAAAUUCAAUGGAUGAUAUAGAUCAGUUCGAUCACUGGACCAGCUACUCAUGUCUCCCAUUUCGCUCCUAAAACCAGUAAGCAAA
ensembl:lncRNA